UACAGAGGGGGCAAGCGUUGUUCGGAAUUACUGGGCGUAAAGGGCGCGUAGGCGGCCCGCUAAGUCGAACGUGAAAUCCCCGGGCUCAACCCGGGAACUGCGUCCGAUACUGGUGGGCUCGAAUCCGGGAGAGGGAUGCGGAAUUCCAGGUGUAGCGGUGAAAUGCGUAGAGAUCCGGAAGAACACCGGAGGCGAAGGCGGCUUGCUGGGCUCAGUCUGACGCUGAGGCGCGAAAGCGUGGGGAGCGAACAGG
rnacentral:rRNA from 1 species